rnacentral:rRNA from 1 species
UGAGUUUGAUCCUGGCUCAGAUUGAACGCUGGCGGCAUGCCUUACACAUGCAAGUCGAACGGCAGCACGGGGGCAACCCUGGUGGCGAGUGGCGAACGGGUGAGUAAUACAUCGGAACGUGUCCUGUAGUGGGGGAUAGCCCGGCGAAAGCCGGAUUAAUACCGCAUACGCUCUACGGAGGAAAGGGGGGGAUCUUAGGACCUCUCGCUACAGGGGCGGCCGAUGGCAGAUUAGCUAGUUGGUGGGGUAAAGGCCUACCAAGGCGACGAUCUGUAGCUGGUCUGAGAGGACGACCAGCCACACUGGGACUGAGACACGGCCCAGACUCCUACGGGAGGCAGCAGUGGGGAAUUUUGGACAAUGGGCGCAAGCCUGAUCCAGCAAUGCCGCGUGUGUGAAGAAGGCCUUCGGGUUGUAAAGCACUUUUGUCCGGAAAGAAAACCUCUGGGUUAAUACCCCGGGGGGAUGACGGUACCGGAAGAAUA